rnacentral:lncRNA from 1 species
ACACAGCCCCGCCCCGGCCGGACUCAGCCUCAUCUCACUCCGCCUUCCUGCGCGUUGUACGGUUGCCAAGGGGACGCACCACUCUCCAGGACCUUCUGGGCGCAUCUGGGGACUAAGAAAAGCCAGAGACAGUUCUUGAAUCCCCAGAUGUGGAACCCAUGGAUAUGGAGGGCUAACUAUAUACAUCCCAUGCACUGAGAAAAUAGGAAAUGGCUUAAUUUUUAUUUGAGGUGGAAACCUUUGGCUUCAAGCCUGCCAUUCAACACUGAUGACAUCUCAGUCGUGAGCCGCACAGUGGGCUGAGUCCUGGUCACUGCACAUCUGCAGCCAGCUGUGCAAUCAAGUCUUUGGCAUCUUGCAUGGUGGAGGGUAUCUCUGAGCCAUUCUUAGUCAGACAGGAUCUUGCUUUGUCGCCCAGGCUGGAGUGCAGUGGCGCAAUCUUGACUCACCGCAACCUCCGCCUCCCACGUUCAAGCAAUUCUCCUGCCUCACCCUCCUGAGUAGCUGGGACUACAGGUGUGUGCCACCACGCCCCACUCAUUUUUAAAAAUCUUUUGUAAAGAGGAGCAUCUUGCUAUGUUGCUCAGGCUGGUGUCAAACUCCUGGCCUCAAGCAAUCCUUCCACCUAGGCCUCCCUAACUGCUGGGAUUACAGGCAUGAGCCACUGCACCCAGACUAAUUUUGUUUUUCCAUUUUCCUUUUAGUCUUCUAAGAUUAUUUCAACAGGAGCAAUUAUUUUUAUUUAUAUUUAAUAACAGAAAUUUGAUUCAUCUAUUGUUUUAGGUCUAUAUGAUACUUUACCAAUUAUAGUUCUUGCCACUGUGAGUUUUCUUUUGUGCUCAUUAUUUCUACUGAACAAAAAAAUCCUCAACCAAUUUUGGGGAGUAGAGGAAGACAGAGAAGAGAAUGGAGAGGGAACAGAUUCAGACAACGUGCAGUGGGAAAAGGAGGUUCAGAGGAGAGACAGGGAAAGAGAUGGGGGAGGCUUGGAAGAGGGAAACCCACAGGAAGAGGCAGAGGGGGAAGACAGGAAGCCUGUGCUUAGGCCGCAUGCCAGGGCCAAAACCUCCUUACGAUGGAAAUGGCAAGGUCAAAACAUACAUCUUUAACUCUCAUACACCAAGAAUUAUUUAAGCAAAUGACCUGUGACAUUCCCUUUCAUAAAUAACACAGAUUCAGCUAUAGUUUUCCAGUCCUUUGUAAAAGUUUUUUCACUUCUAAAAUUGCAUUUGUAAUUGGCUUUUUGUUAUUUCAUAGCAUUCCCCCUAAGUUUUAGAAGAUCAUCAUUUUUAAAUCUCUGGAAAUAACCUAAUAUUGUGUCUUUUUUUUUUCCUGUAUCAUAUGAACCUAUUUUUUUUUGAGACGGAAUCUCACCCUGUCACCCAGACUGGAGUGCAGUGGUGCAAUCUCGGCUCACUGCAACCUCCGCCUCCCAGGUUCAAGCGAUUCCCCUGCCUCAGCCUCCCAAGUAGCUGGGAUUACAGGUGUGCGCCACCACACCCAGCUAAUUUUUCUAUUUUUAGUAGAGACGGGUUUUCACCAUGUUGGCCAGGCUGGUCUCGAACUCCUGACCUCAGGUGUUCCGCCCGCCUUGGCCUUCCAAAGUGCUGGGAUUAUAGGCAUGGGCCACUGUGCAUGUCCCGAACCUAUCAAAUUCUAUCACUUGGAGCCUGUGGGGCUUUUCCUGAUGUGCUUAAGCCUGGGAGGUGGAGCUUGCAGUGAGCCGAGAUCACACCACUGUACUCCAGCUUGGGU